rnacentral:rRNA from 1 species
UACGUAGGGUCCGAGCGUUGUCCGGAAUUAAUGGGCGUAAAGGGCUCGUAGGCGGUCUGUUGCGUCGGGAGUGAAAAUUCACAGCUUAACUGUGAACUUGCUUCCGAUACGGGCAGACUUGAGGUAUUCAGGGGAGAACGGAAUUCCUGGUGUAGCGGUGAAAUGCGCAGAUAUCAGGAGGAACACCGGUGGCGAAGGCGGGUCUCUGGGCAGUAACUGACGCUGAGGAGCGAAAGCGUGGGGAGCGAACAGG